AGAGUUUGAUCCUGGCUCAGGACGAACGCUGGCGGCGUGCUUAACACAUGCAAGUCGAACGCUGAAGACCUGGCUUUUGUUGGGUUGGAUGAGUGGCAAACGGGUGAGUAACACGUGAGUAACCUGCCCUCUUCUUUGGGAUAACGCCCGGAAACGGGUGCUAAUACUGGAUAUUCACUGAUCUUCGCAUGGGGGUUGGUGGAAAGGUUUGUUCUGGUGGGGGAUGGGCUCGCGGCCUAUCAGCUUGUUGGUGGGGUGAUGGCCUACCAAGGCUUUGACGGGUAGCCGGCCUGAGAGGGUGACCGGUCACAUUGGGACUGAGAUACGGCCCAGACUCCUACGGGAGGCAGCAGUGGGGAAUAUUGCACAAUGGGCGAAAGCCUGAUGCAGCGACGCCGCGUGAGGGAUGGAGGCCUUCGGGUUGUAAACCUCUUUCGCUCAUGGUCAAGCCGCAACUGUGGGUUGUGGUGAGGGUAGUGGGUAAAGAAGCGCCGGCUAACUACGUGCCAGCAGCCGCGGUAAUACGUAGGGCGCGAGCGUUGUCCGGAAUUAUUGGGCGUAAAGGGCUUGUAGGCGGUUGGUCGCGUCUGCCGUGAAAUUCUCUGGCUUAACUGGGGGCGUGCGGUGGGUACGGGCUGACUUGAGUGCGGUAGGGGAGACUGGAACUCCUGGUGUAGCGGUGGAAUGCGCAGAUAUCAGGAAGAACACCGGUGGCGAAGGCGGGUCUCUGGGCCGUUACUGACGCUGAGGAGCGAAAGCGUGGGGAGCGAACAGGAUUAGAUACCCUGGUAGUCCACGCUGUAAA
rnacentral:rRNA from 1 species